rnacentral:antisense_RNA from 1 species
CUGGGUUCUUUCGUUGGAGAGGGUCCCAUUUCCAGUCAUUCUUCAGCCUGGUGAUUCCCGCGCUCCCCUGAGGAGCAUAUGAAGUAUGUCGGUUCUGCCAGGUUGGAACGCGCUGCUGGACACUCGGCCGUAAGGCGGAUCCCGGAUCCCGUCCCACUCCGACCCUUCCCUCCAGAAGGGCCGGUUCCCAAACGGCCCCUUUAGACACAUCCCAGCGGUUUCCGACGGCCCUCACGAUGAAAACUGCUGUCCGUUGGUGAAGGCAGCCUCUUCUGUGCUCCUCGCCGCUGACUUUCUGAGGCGGACCUACCUGUGGAGGCAUACCAGGAACCAGACGAUGACCCCCUCCAAAAGUUGGGUCUUUGAGGAGAGCUACUAACUUGGGUUCCUGGUACACCCUCUACAUGCAGUGGUGAAGCUUAUCUAACAGUCAUUCAUAGAAUCAGUUUGGGAAGGGGAAUUUUCGCUGAACUCUCAUAGAGAAACUGUUUUAGAUAACAAAGUUCUGCACGGUUAAAAUUGAACAGAAAUUUUUUUGCAUAGAAAUUAGGAUUACCGAAAAUACUGAAGAAAGACUACCUCUGAUUGGACUCUUCUCAAGGAAUUAAUAAUUCAAGAACUAAGGAAAGAAAAAAGUGAUUAUAUGAAAAUACUGAAGUUGAUCGUAGCAACUGAAGGCUGAUCCUGUGUGGGUAAAUGUAAACGCUGAAUUCCCACGUUCCAAUGUGCGACCUGGGAUUAAGGCAGCAAUUGAGCAGGGCUGAAGUACAUUGGUGCAAUCUUGGCUCACUACAUCUCUACCCCAAGUUCAAGCAAUUCUCCUGCCUCAGCCUCCCAAGCAGCUGGGAUUACAGAAUGUCACAUAAAUGGAAUCAUACAAUUUCAUCUCUCUCUCUGCUAUGGACACAGAUGGCUUCACUCCAUCCUGUAUUCUCUGGACCAUGAUAGAAUUCCAGACUCUCAGUAGUUUUUGCAUUCCAAGAAGUAGAGCCUAGAGUGGUGGCCUAUAAUUACAGUUACUCAGGAGGCUGAGGCAGGAGGAUCCUUUGAAGUCCAGCAGUUUGAGGCCAGCCUGGACACCACAGCAAGACCACCAAUAAAUAAAUAAAUAAAUGGAACAU